AAACCUAGGAGGAGGUUUAUCACCAGCAGCUCAUGAAGUACCUUGAUUGCCCGUCUCUCAAUCAUUUCUCAAUCAUUGAUGUUGGCUCUCACUCCGGUGCCUCAUGACAUAGCUGAGAUUUGCCAUGCAAGAUGACUCGUCGAAGAGGAUGUCUUCAUGUCAUGCCAGUUCAGCUCCUUGUUUGCGCGAUGAAUCCACCGCUGGAGCCCCUCUCUUCCAGAUAGCACAUGUGCCAGGAUCCUGGAGUUGACAAAACAAAGCCUAAGAGGAACUUGUUUGACAACGCCAACAACCUUCUCACCAAUUUUCUUUCUAGCGGCAACCUCAAGAAUAUGCCGGUUGCCGAAGGAAACGAAGUAAUCGGGAGUGGUGGUAGCAAGCAGGAGAAGAAACCAUCACAGAUUUUCUCUGGUUCUGUAGUUCACUUUAUGAAUUU